GCCAUGGUGCCGGCGGAGGCGCGGGCGUCGCGGCCGGGACUUUGGCUUUGACACGGACAGCGAUCGUGAGCCGUGGCUCUGGUGCCGGGGUCUGGACGCAGUUCUUGCGGAUCCGACGUCCGAGUCCGGGGCAAGACCCUUUCUUUGCCUGGAUCAACGCAACUGCGGCAACGCCGUAAGUCCUGGUGCAGCCGCCAAGACUAGGUGCAGCCGUGGCGGCCGGAUUUCACCGCCGCUGCCGCCUCGGCGAAGCCCUGCAGCUCCUGCCGGUUUUGGGAGAGCGACUCUUAAGAGUUUCUCCAGCAGAAAGAGCUGGGACGCCCGGCCGGAGGCGGUGUGGGAGGGAUCCCGCGUUCCGCCCCUGACUCGCAAACGCACGGGCACUAGGGCUGGAGGCAGGGGGCCCUUGCUGUCCCUGGCUGGGCUCAGGCUUCGGAGCCGCAGGUGGAAGGCGGACGUCCCGGAGGAGCGGCUGAGAGGUGGCCAAGUGAAAGGUGCUUUUGGAUGGUAUGGGCAUGGAGAUUUAGUGUUUGUGGUAACCAUUUCAUCCCCCGAAUCCUGUACCUUCCCUUCUUCUGUACCUGUGGGGUCUACUGGGCUUCCUCCCUAGCCAGAGAGAUCUGCGGUGGUGAGGCCUUCCUGGGCCCCUGAUCCUGGCUGGCCAUGGGGAGCACCCUGGGCUGCCACCGCUCCAUCCCCCGGGACCCCUCGGACCUGUCCCAUAGUCGCAAGUUCAGCGCGGCCUGCAACUUCAGCAACAUCCUGGUGAAUCAGGAGCGGCUCAACAUCAACACCGCCACGGAGGAGGAGCUGAUGACCCUGCCUGGGGUGACGCGUGCGGUGGCACGCAGCAUCGUGGAGUACCGCGAGUACAUCGGUGGCUUCAAGAAGGUAGAGGACCUGGCACUGGUCAGUGGCGUGGGUGCCACCAAGCUGGAGCAAGUCAAGUUCGAGAUCUGCGUGAGCAGCAAGGGGAGCUCCGCGCAGCACUCUCCCAGCUCUCUGCGGCGGGACCUGCUGGCGGAGCAGCAACCUCACCACCUGGCCGCCGCCGUGCCCCUCACCCCUCGUGUCAACAUCAACACCGCCACCCCGGCUCAGCUUAUGAGCGUGCGAGGCCUCACGGAGAAGAUGGCCGUGAGCAUCGUGGACUACCGCCGCGAGCAUGGGCCCUUCCGCAGCGUCGAGGACCUGGUGAGGAUGGGCGGCAUCAAUGCCGCCUUCCUGGACAGGAUACGGCACCAGGUGUUUGCCGAGAGGUCCAGGCCCCCGUCCACCCACACCAAUGGGGGCCUGACCUUCACCGCCAAGCCUCACCCCAGCCCCACCUCGCUGAGCCUGCAGAGUGAGGACCUGGACCUGCCGCCCGGGGGGCCUACACAGAUCAUCUCCACCCGGCCUUCGGUGGAGGCCUUUGGAGGCACAAGGGAUGGGCGGCCUGUGCUGAGGCUGGCCACCUGGAACUUGCAGGGCUGUUCCGUGGAGAAGGCCAACAACCCCGGGGUGCGAGAGGUGGUGUGUAUGACGCUCCUGGAAAACAGGCCGAAGUGCAGGACGAGCUGACCCAAACCCAGAAGGGUGGAGAAGGGAGCAUCUGGAAGUAACUUUGAAGGUGACCUGUGUCCCAUCACAUUUCUCACACUUGGCCACAUCUGCUGUCUGUUCUGUACGGAGCUCAACCAGCCAAUCCUGCCCAACAUCCGCAAGUGGAAGGGGCCCCGAGGAUGCUGGAAGGUCAUUGUUUCAGAGACGCCCUCGACUCAGCUCCAGAAGCUCUUUGCCAUUCAUUU